rnacentral:rRNA from 1 species
AUAGCGUAUAUUAAAGUUGUUGCAGUUAAAAAGCUCGUAGUCGAACUUUGGGCCUGGACGGGCGGUCUGCCGCAAGGCAUUGUACUGUCUGGCCGGGCCUUUCCUCUUGGUGAAUCGGCGUGCCCUUCGCUGGGUGCGUCGGGGAACCAGGACGUUUACCUUGAGAAAAUUAGAGUGUUCAAAGCAGGCGUUUCGCCCGAAUACAUUAGCAUGGAAUAAUGAAAUAGGACGUGCGGUUCUAUUUUGUUGGUUUCUAGAGUCGCCGUAAUGAUUAAUGGGGACAGUUGGGGGCAUUAGUAUUCAGUCGCUAGAGGUGAAAUUCUUGGAUUGACUGAAGACUAACUACUG